rnacentral:rRNA from 1 species
GCGUCGACGGGGCGCAGCCUGACCGCCUGCCGCGUGCAGGAUGAAGGCCUUCGGGUUGUAAACUGCUUUUGUACGGAACGAAAAGACUCUGGUUAAUACCUGGGGUCCAUGACGGUACCGUAAGAAUAAGCACCGGCUAACUACGUGCCAGCAGCCGCGGUAAUACGUAGGGUGCAAGCGUUAAUCGGAAUUACUGGGCGUAAAGCGUGCGCAGGCGGUUAUGUAAGACAGAUGUGAAAUCCCCGGGCUCAACCUGGGAACUGCAUUUGUGACUGCAUAGCUAGAGUACGGCAGAGGGGGAUGGAAUUCCGCGUGUAGCAGUGAAGGGGGUAGAUAUGCGGAGGAACACCGAUGGCGAAGGCAAUCCCCUGGGCCUGUACUGACGCUCAUGCACGAAAG